CAUCCCCAGCUGCCGCCAUGACUUUGCCAAGGCCUUUAGACAACACAGCGACAUUGUAGACAUCGCAGCUUUACGACAAAGGGAACCGUGCAGCGUAGAAAUCAAAGUGCAGUCGUGCAAUUGUGUGACAACGAUGGAGGACUUGGACGAUGUUUCCUGCUGAGGAGGACAGACGACCAGCUGGUCAGAAAUCAAACCACGACCUCUGAUGCUGAAAGACACCCCUUUGGAUAUUCUCUGUGAUGUAUGCUCUACUGCAAGCAAACCAAACAAGGUCCAAAGAAUGGCUGAGUCACCUUUAUGAACUUACGACGGAGAAAGACAGCAACUGGGAAGGGAGCAGGACGCCGAUGUUUGAACCCUGAGCUAGCUCUGCCAAUGAAUUGCUGCAACAUCUUGCGUGCAAACCAGGAACCUUGGGGGUAAGGAACUGCUGGCUUGGAUUACCCAAACAAGACCAGACCAAGAGUGAAUACGGCGAUGGACAAAUACUCAGAGUACGGCUAACCUGCAUUAAAUCCAUUUCACAGCAAGAUGAGACACUUUGUACACUGCAGACACCCACUAUCCCAGAUUUUCUUUAGGAAAGUCAAGUUUUCACACUGGACUUGUGCUCCCCCGAGACCACCGGCAGCUGACUGAGUUCCAGGGAGAAGCUUGGGUGCGAAUUGGAAGCCAUGGCUGCUCCUCACACCUGCACUGGCCCCAACCGGCCAUCUUUCCCUUGCCCUCGGGCUCCCAGCACAUCCACAGCCACUGGCAAGAGGUCAACCGACGUGCCACAAAUUCAGGCUCCUGCUUCUUUAUCCCUGGCAACGUGUCUGCAUCCUUGAGCGCU